rnacentral:rRNA from 1 species
UGGGGGAUAUUGCACAAUGGGGGGGAACCCGUGAUGCAGCGACGCCGCGUGGGUGAAGGAGCGUUUCGGCGCGUAAAGCCCUAUCGGCAGGGAAGAAGGAGGACGGUACCUGACUAAGAAGCCCCGGCUAACUACGUGCC